GAUGAACGCUGGCGGCGUGCCUAAUACAUGCAAGUCGAGCGAACAGAUGAGGAGCUUGCUCCUCUGACGUUAGCGGCGGACGGGUGAGUAACACGUGGAUAACCUACCUAUAAGACUGGGAUAACUUCGGGAAACCGGAGCUAAUACCGGAUAAUAUAUUGAACCGCAUGGUUCAAUAGUGAAAUACGGUUUUGCUGUCACUUAUAGAUGGAUCCGCGCCGCAUUAGCUAGUUGGUAAGGUAACGGCUUACCAAGGCAACGAUGCGUAGCCGACCUGAGAGGGUGAUCGGCCACACUGGAACUGAGAUACGGUCCAGACUCCUACGGGAGGCAGCAGUAGGGAAUCUUCCGCAAUGGGCGAAAGCCUGACGGAGCAACGCCGCGUGAGUGAUGAAGGUCUUCGGAUCGUAAAACUCUGUUAUUAGGGAAGAACAAAUGUGUAAGUAACUAUGCACGUCUUGACGGUACCUAAUCAGAAAGCCACGGCUAACUACGUG
rnacentral:rRNA from 1 species